GGGCGCAUAGCGCAGUGGUAGCGCGCAUGCUUUGCAUGUAUGAGGUCCAGGGUUCAAUCCCCUGUGCGUCCA
rnacentral:tRNA from 1 species